rnacentral:lncRNA from 1 species
CGUAUUUACGAAGAUAGUUCUGCGCAUGCGCAGUACAUAACCUUCCAUAACUCGGGACCAAUGCGACGGCUGGGGACGACACUAUCACCAUUGGAUUCAGCGUAAAAUUCUGAUUCAGAAAAUGAUUUCAUGGACAUUUUUCGUGACAUCAACUUUUCCGCGAAAGUUUCAGCCAGAUAGGGCUCCAGACCGAAAUGCCGGCUGGGAAAGAGAAGGUCUGCGCAUGCGCAGAACGUAAAACCUUACGCUUGCAUAUUUUGUUAAGAAGACAUUAACGAAUGUUGUUCGCCUUGAUGAGGGCUACAACUUUGCUUAAGGUGGUCUUACACCCAUAUUUUCAAUUUUUUUGCAAUUAAUUGUAGGGCAGAUGUAAAUUUAUAUUAUAGUAGAGUACAAAAAGGUGAUCAAGAAAAUACAUCACUUUACAUGUGUGUUGCCAUGGUUACCGUGGUAAUUACCUCCUAGUGAGAAAAUAAGCACCUAUUUUCAGACAAGAUUAAGCUUCAGUGGAUGGUCAGAAAACUUUAAUUUCUGGUUUAUAUAAUCACUAUAAACAUAGUCUAGGAGCCAAACCAAAAAAAACCCUGACUUUUUACAGGCAUCUCUGUUUUUUUAAGAUUUUUCUGCAAAAUAGCAUUUUUUUGAAAACAAUACAUCAUACAGCAAACAACUAGGAAAUUAAUAUAAAACUUUUUUCAGUUUUUUUUGGUUUGGCUCCUUGCCUGAUAUUGUGUGUUACACUGUUGAAAAUUUCAGUCAAAUUGGUUAAAAACUGUCUUAGAUAUGCUGUCUGAAGAUAGCGGCAUUUGCCAAAUUUCACAUUUUGUGAAAAACAACAUUUAAGUUUAGCUUUUAGAUGGUGGCUCUGUAUUUAUGCAAAUAACAUUGAAAUGCCUACUUUUUAAAUAUCUUUUCAAGCCUUGGAGUGUUUAGAAAAGUUAAAAUCCACCAGCAGCAUAAGUUACACCCUCUUUCUGGGAACAUUUGUCCGCAUUCUUCCUCUUUUGUGCUCGCCUGAUUUUUCUUUUCUUUUUGUUUUCUUCCUGUGCCUUGAACUCUGCUUUAUCCACACGCUCGUGAUCUUGUUGCUCUAAUUCAGCAACACAAAACGUUCCAGGAUCAAUCCCUAGAAGCUCUAGUACAUUAAGGGCAGCUUGGGAGCCAAUGUUAAAGUGGGCCACAGCAUCAUAAACACCAAGCUUCAACACCUCCGAUCCGAUGAACACUUCUUUCGGAAGGCGAUUCCAAAUCAUUCCAUUCAAUGACUCAUUCUGGUUUUGAGUUUUUCCAUCUAAGCACCUUUCAAGUAAAGCAUCAUUACUUAGCCUCUCAUAAAUGGGUCUAACCAAACUAAUUAUUUCAUCUGGCAACCCUGGCCCUGGUUUGUACAAAGCUGUUCCUUUGGCCCGAUCUUGUUGAAAGCGACACCAGCUAUCAGUACCAGCAGGACAAAGCAUAUGCAGAUUUCUUUUCUUUGAGGCUAUGCAAUGCAUUAGGCUAGCUUGAAUAGCUUUUUUCAUUGCCUCCAGAUUACCAACAUUGCUUCGAAUUGCAAUGCCAUAGUAAUUUUGAAGCCGAUCAAUCAAAGCAUCUGUCAACUUUCCUUUCCCUCCUAGUCCCUUAUUCUCCUUCUUAAGUUUUCGAAGGGCAGUUCCUACCCGCUUUUGGACAUGCCCAACACAUUCUUUUUUCACCACUUGAACAUUCUCUUUGCUGUAUAUGUCCUGAACCUCACUGAAACCUUUGCUGUCCCCAUCGCCGAAAUAUUCCGUAUACUGUAGUUUGUACUUUUCUUGACUGCGGCCAAAUAUUUUCCUAACUCCCACGGUUUCCAUUGAAGCAGAAGAACCAGAAUAAUUGGCUUUGCAUUUAUCCUU